ACCAAUUUAGAAUAUGUCAACGUGGUCGCUGAAGCCGGCAAGAAUGUCACUAUUCUCUGUCCGGGCGUUUCCGAGCAUUCGCUUGUCGAUACCUUAGUUUGGAAAACCUCAACAACAACAAUAGCGCAGUUCGCAAAUCGAAUACAACAUUUACAUAGUCCAAGGAUACAACUGCUUUCGGAUAAUUUUGGCCUACAAUUUAACCCUGCCAAAGCCAGUGAUACGGCCGAAUACUUCUGCUUGGUCAACGAUCGCCAUAUUCCGGAGGCGAUCGUAGACUUACUGGUGCAAGAUGUUCCGGAUCCUCCAGAACGGCCGCUUCUAAUUAGUUUCACAUCGCGUUCCGUAAACUUAUCUUGGGCGCAUUCUCAGCAUCCCCGAAAUGCACCAGUGACGCAUUUCGUCAUCGA